rnacentral:rRNA from 1 species
CCUACGGGUGGCAGCAGUGAGGAAUAUUGGUCAAUGGACGAGAGCCUGAACCAGCCAAGUCGCGUGAAGGAUUACUGCCCUAUGGGUUGUAAACUUCUUUUAUAAAGGAAUAAAACUCGGCACGCGUGCCUAUUUGCAUGUACUUUAUGAAAAAGGAUCGGCUAAAUCCGUUCCAGCCACCGCGGUAAUACGGAGGAUCCGAGCGUUAUCCGGAUUUAUUGGGUUUAAAGGGAGCGUAGAUGGGUUGUUAAGUCAGUUGUGAAAGUUUGCGGCUCAACCGUAAAAUUGCAAUUGAUACUGGCAGUCUUGAGUACAGUAGAGGUAGGCGGAAUGCGUGGUGUAGCGGUGAAAUGCAUAGAUAUCACGAAGAACCCCGAUUGCGAAGGCAGCUUACUAAACUGUGACUGACAUUGAUGCUCGAAAGUGUGGGUAUCAAACAGGAUUAGAUACCCUUGUAGUC